GUGCCUGAUAGAUCGGGAUACUCUACAAUAAACUAUCUUCAGGGACCGUUUCCUUUGCCAAUGGCGGGCCACUAUCCUUCGGGAGAAGUUGAAAGACCGGUGGAUUACAACGGCGAGGAGCACCCAUAUCGUGUGAAACAGGAGUUUUCACCAAAUCAUCGGCACGCCCUCUU
rnacentral:sRNA from 1 species